rnacentral:rRNA from 1 species
AUAGAACGCUGGCGUCAGGCCUAACACAUGCAAGUCGAACGAGUGGCGGACGGGUGAGUAAUGUCUGGGAAACUGCCUGAUGGCGGGGGAUAACUACUGGAAACGGUAGCUAAUACCGCAUACCAUCAGAUGUGCCCAGAUGGGAUUAGCUAGUUGGUGGGGUAACGGCUCACCAAGGCGACGAUCCCUAGCUGGGCUGAGAGGAUGACCAGCCACACUGGAACUGCGACACGGGCCAGACGCCGACGGGAGGCAGCAGGGGGGAAUAGUGCAGAAUGGGCGAAAGCCUGAUGCAGCCAUGCCGCGUGUAUGAAGAAGGCCUUCGGGUUGUAAAGUACUUUCAGCGGGGAGGCGGUACCCGCAGAAGAAGCACCGGCUAACUCCGUGCCAGCAGCCGCGGUAAUUC